rnacentral:lncRNA from 1 species
GGCAGGAUCCAGAGUCAUAUUUGUGUCUAAAGUGUAGGAUAUAAUGAUGCCUUGAACCUAAUUGUCCUGCUUGACUACAUGCAUUUAUAUCCACACAUUUAAUGGAUAUAAUAGCUUAUUUACCAGUUUUUAAUGAGCUCAUUUCUACUCAGCUCCAGUCCUUGCAAGGGUGAUGUAUGGGGACAACAGAAUCAGUAUUUCUUCUACUGAACAAACACAGGUAGUGUAGAAAGGUGCUGAGCUUCUGUAGGUAGAAGUACAUUGAAGAUCCUCAUGAUCCAGAAGCAUGAAGAUAAGCUUGAAAGGCACAUUUAAAAGGCUGAUUGUCAAGUUAAGCUCUCAAAACAUCUCUCUCAUUUUUUUUUUGUAUCUGAGGAGUACCAUUUCUUCCAGGAAUGUCUCUGUUGCUUCAUUACUUCUACGUUUGCAUUUCUGGAUUACUCUGUGGAGAAACCAGGCCAUGGUGUGCUUCUUCAUUAAUGAGAUUCACAAGGUGCCAUUGAGGGAGAAUUAUGGAGAAGUGUCGCCCAUGUUUUAGUUGUAUCCUUC